CCCAUCGAUAACGAUAUGUGUAUUUUCCUGCUCUCUCUGCACCAACACAAAACACGCAACUAAAUUUCGGUUAAAAACCCCAGCUAAAAACAAUGUAAUCGAAACGGAAUCAUAUAAAGUGAUUAAAUGGCCAACGCGGCGGCGCCGAAAUGCGAGCGCAGUGCAUUUUCCGGAUGAAAUCGCGUUUUCGGGGAAACUUACACAAACAUUUUUUUUCGUAAGCGCUCUCAUGUUGUCUCUUUCGCACAGCAGAAUUACUAGUUGCUGUGUGUGUGCGUGCGUGCGUUUGUGUGUGCCGUAUGCCGUAUGCCAGUGUGUGCGUGCGUGAUUGUGUGUGUGAGUGACUUUGACUGCAGUUCGCGUACGUUUUUUAUUAAUACACCACAUAACAACAAUCACAACAACAAACAGUAAUGGAAACUAAACAUAUUUAAUGCGAGGAGACCAGAAAUCGUCUGAAACGGCAAGGCUUUAUCACCAUCGCCACCACCACCAACAGCACAGCAACAACAACAAAUUACUACAGCAUGUAUGCUAGUGUGCGUAAACGUAUUUGUGUUAAAUAAUGUUUAAACUGGCAUUUCUGAUUUCGCACACAAAACAAUAUUAAGUUGUAGUCACCAGCAGAGAGGAGCAAUUGAAGUAAACGAAAAAGAGCCAACGUUAUCAUUAAAAUUCGCCUCAAAUACAAGCAAUAAUACAUAAUAUAAAUAAAACCCGAAAGAAAAAAGUUCAACAUCUAGUAAAGAAAGCAAACAAAGUUUAGAAGCACUUGCAUUAACGAAAUCGUAGCCAUUAGCUUUAACAAAGUCGCGUAAAAAUUUUGAGCAGAACUUAGCAAGCCUAUAAAGUACGCCUUCCAAUAGUUAUUAUAUAUACACGCAUUAUAUACAUAUGCAUAUACACAGCCAUAGCACUUACAUACAUACAUAUAUACAUAUACAACAUCGGUCGAAGGGAAUUAUAAAAUGUGAAACCCACACGGGAAGCGAAUGAACGAUACGGAAUCGUGGAAAAAGUGCGUUAUAUGCUAACGGUGCAAUCAAAUCUUAAUGUAGCCAAGCGAUACUAACAUAUAUAGCACAUAAUAUAUAUAUAUAUAUUUCUUACAUCCAUCAAGUAAAUCAACAAUUUUUACAAUCCGCAAACUUAAGCAGCUUCAAAAUCAACCAACGCAAUUACUUUAAGAGAUUUACUUUAUCGGUAAAUGGACAAGCAUAAA
rnacentral:sRNA from 1 species